AUAUGAGUAGUGUAGUAUAAAUUAUUGCCUAAAGAGGGCGCACUUUGCGUUCUGUUCAAGGGAACUCCCCGCGAACAAGAGAUUCUUUUAUCCUUCCAAGAUUUUCCCAUGAGACGUGUGAGAAAGAGGCUCCCGGAAUUCGACAUCCAACUUGAGAGGGUCAAUUGAAGCAAAUCCCUAGAAUAAUACCACACUGAAAACUCCGAUUGGUUUUUAUGUACAGCAGAAGAAUCUGAGAAUCUGAAUCCUGUGAACUUGAUGAUAAGAUGGCGAGCUAUACCCAGAUUUUGGAUGCGGUGUGGCCAACCGCGUGAUCCAGAUCGAACCUGAUAAGCAAACCACGAAAACAUCAGACCCCAGUCCUGCCGUCAGGAAGGCAGGUAGUACACACACAGACCGGACCAGAACGGAACUCCCGGAACUCUCUAGCGCACACACACUGAAA